UACAGAGGGCGCGAGCGUUGUCCGGAAUCACUGGGCGUAAAGGGGCACGUAGGCGGUUUGUUAAGUCGGAUGUGAAAUCCCUCGGCUCAACUGAGGAAGUGCACCCGAAACUGGCAGGCUUGAGUACUAAAGAGGGUCGCGGAAUUCCCGGUGUAGAGGUGAAAUUCGUAGAUAUCGGGAGGAACACCGGUGGCGAAGGCGGCGACCUGGGUAGAUACUGACGCUGAGGUGCGAAAGCGUGGGGAGCAAACAGGG
rnacentral:rRNA from 1 species